rnacentral:rRNA from 1 species
CCUACGGGGGGCAGCAGUGAGGAAUAUUGGUCAAUGGACGAGAGUCUGAACCAGCCAAGUAGCGUGAAGGAUGACUGCCCUAUGGGUUGUAAACUUCUUUUAUAUGGGAAUAAAAUGUUCCACGUGUGGGAUUUUGUAUGUACCAUAUGAAUAAGGAUCGGCUAACUCCGUGCCAGCAGCCGCGGUAAUACGGAGGAUCCGAGCGUUAUCCGGAUUUAUUGGGUUUAAAGGGAGCGUAGGUGGAUUGUUAAGUCAGUUGUGAAAGUUUGCGGCUCAACCGUAAAAUUGCAGUUGAAACUGGCAGUCUUGAGUACAGUAGAGGUGGGCGGAAUUCGUGGUGUAGCGGUGAAAUGCUUAGAUAUCACGAAGAACUCCGAUUGCGAAAGCAGUUCACUGGACUGCAACUGACACUGAGGCUCGAAAGUGUGGGUAUCAAACAGGAUUAGAUACCCCAGUAGUC